rnacentral:piRNA from 1 species
UCACUAAACUAGUGAAUGAACCCAGGA